GAUGAACGCUGGCGGCGUGCCUAAUACAUGCAAGUCGAACGAAACUUCUUUAUCACCGAGUGCUUGCACUCACCGAUAAAGAGUUGAGUGGCGAACGGGUGAGUAACACGUGGGCAACCUGCCCAAAAGAGGGGGAUAACACUUGGAAACAGGUGCUAAUACCGCAUAACCAUAGUUACCGCAUGGUAACUAUGUAAAAGGUGGCUAUACUACCGCUUUUGGAUGGGCCCGCGGCGCAUUAGCUAGUUGGUAGGGUAAAGGCUUACCAAGGCAAUGAUGCGUAGCCGAAUUGAGAGGUUGAUCGGCCACAUUGGGACUGAGACACGGCCCAAACUCCUACGGGAGGCAGCAGUAGGGAAUCUUCCACAAUGGGCGAAAGCCUGAUUGAGCAACGCCGCGUGGGUGAAGAAGGUCUUCGGAUCGUAAAACCCUGUUGUUAGAGAAGAAAGUGCGUGAGAGUAACUGUUCACGUUUCGACGGUAUCUAACCAGAAAGCCACGGCUAACUACGUG
rnacentral:rRNA from 1 species